GACUCUGAAAAUUGGUGUGAGAAUAUACUUGGGCAGAUUCUGACGAAGCUGGAACCUUGAACUCCUAACUUCUUCCAGCCCUCCUAUGCAGUAACAGCAGUCCAUCUUCUCCAGUCUGAGAUUAGUCUUUCCUUAUAGUGGGAUCCCCUAAGGUAGUCACUUUGGAGGUUGUUGAUAGCUUGCUUAAGAGACUAAUAAAUUUGUCAGUAGUGAUCAUGUUUAAAACCUUGAAAUGCUGCCAGUCUAUCAGCAAUCAGUAUCAGUCAGCCAACAACAGACAGUUCUGCACAUCUUAGAACCAAAUCUGUCAAUGGUGAUCUUCUCAUAUAUGGUGGACUGUUGGAGGAAGCCUGCAUUGUUCUUUUCAUGUGCUCCCACAAAGAUUGUUUCAUUAUGGUUCCUGCCAGAAAUGGAGUCAGGCAGUUGCUUUGAGCAAGCAUGGCAAGAAUCAGAGGGCCUAGACUCAGAGUAUCUUUUAGGCUCUCCCUUCUGCUGAGUUAAUGGAGGGGAUGUUAUGCGGAACUCUUCAUUCAGCCCUUCAGGAUGUGAAAUCAAUGCUUUCUCAGGUGAUGAUUCUUCCUUUUAGUUGCUCCUGAUUCCUGCAUUUCCUUACCUCUUAACACAAACAACCAGGAAUAGCUUUCUCUUUCUCCUACAUACCACAUGUGAUUGAUAUAAUUGUGGACAUCUGGCUGGUCUGUUGAUGCCUCCAUGGAGAGGGAUCUAAGCACCAAGAUCUCUCUGAAGGGCUAAUGUUUCAGUUCUUGUAAGAGGAAUGUUAAAGGGAGAGGAGAGGAUUGGAUCUCCUAGGACAAAUAUCUAAAAAGCAAAGAUCGCAUUGUCAAGGCCUGGCAAAGGGCUAUCCUUUUCUUACAGAACCCUUAUUCAGACCAUGCAUUUGGGAGGUAGGUGGAUUAAGAGCAUAGUUAAGAGCUCAGAAUCAAGCUGCAUUGGAAUCCCAGUAGGAUCCCUUACCCGCUUUGUGUUUGGGGCAAAUUUCUUCACCUCUCUUAGAUCCCCUCUCCCAUUCAUCUGUCAAAUGGGCACAAGAAUGGCGAGGCUUAAAUAAGAGAUGGGGGUGUGAGGUAUCAGGUAUAGUAAGUAUUCAAAGUUACCCAUUAUUAGUACAGGCAUUUUAUUAGCCCCCAAGAUCAUGUACCUCUUCCAACAGUUUGUGAACCAGAAUUGUCUUCCCUUAAGUUGUAUCAAAACUCUAAAAAGCCAAAAGAAAUAAAAAGCCCUUUCUAGCACUUGGAACAGCCUCCAGCCUGUCCCAAUCCUCUGACAUUAUCUGAGGGAUUCUGGGACCCUUCACUCUGUUCCCAGAGCAGUGGUAGUUCUGUGCCCUGGGGUUUCCUAGCCCUGUGAGAAUGCCAUCCUGCCAUUUUCAUUAUGCUCUGGGAGCUGAGGGCCGCAAAGGUCAGUCCCAUCUUCAUUUUGUAUUCCAUGAUGUCACGAGCCAUCAUUUCGGUAUAUUCUUCCAGUUGUUUAAUAAUUCCCCAUCCUGAUUUCAAAGCCUUUUCUAUCCAGUCAGAAUGAAUCCCUUGUUAAUCACAAGACACAUGAUUGUAACUAUCUCCUCCAGUUCUGUACCUUUUCUCAUAUGAGUGCUUUCAGUGACAAUGCUUGUUGUCUAUCUGGGUAUCAAAAUUACCUAUUCCUCUCAGUCUCCAGGUUUCUGGAUAAACUGCCACUCACUCACUUUAUCAGUCAAGAGUAGUUUGAUGGGUACUUACUAGGUGCCAGACCCUGGUGAUAGAAGAUCAUAGACUGCCAGCUCAUAAUCACUUUACCAAUAGCAAAGUGCUGAAAUGGAGAGAGAGAUGUGGGUGGUAAGAGAAGCUGUCAAGUCUGUCCUGGGAAGGCAGCGACAGCUUCAUUUGAACUGAGAUCUCAAGGGCAGGUUAUAUUCCAUCACUGGACAAACUGAGACAGGGCUUUAUGAGCAUAAGCAGCUAUACAUCCAAAAAGGGCAGAAGAAAGGAUGGUGCUUGGGGAACGCCAAGUCAUUCAGCAUUACCAAAGCAUAAAUUCAAGAGACAUCUGUUUUCUGUUUCAACAGCCUUUUCUCUUGCCUUCAUUAUUUCAAUCAUUCUACUUUGGUUUAAUUAGUAUACUAUUUCUAACAUGGUGGAUAUAGGUAAUAAAAUUGUAUUGACUUUUCAGCUUUUUUUGAUAACAAAUGAAAUAUAAAAAUGUAAAUUUUCCUCUUGGUAUGUUAGCUGUUUGGUUUUGAGGUGGUAUACUUUUACUACUACUAAUUUCAAUUUUUUUUUCUAAAUUUUUGUUGAUUUUCUUUUUGACCCAAAGAUUAUUUACUGUUUAUUUUCAACACAUCGGUUAUUUUCAGUUAUCCUUUUUUAUUAUUAUUUCUAACUGAAUUCCACCGUGGUCAGAGCAAUAAAUACUCUAUGAAUUUGAUACUUUUGAAUUUUACAACUUGUCCUUCACUUAGCAUAUAUUUAAUGCUGAUGAAUGUUCCAUAUACACUUGAAAAGAUCAUAGAUUUUACAUUGUUUGGGUGCAAUGUUUUAUACAUGUCAGUCAGGUCAAGGUUGCUGGUUAUAUUGUACAAGUAUUCUAUAUUCUUAGUGUAUUAGUCUCAAAAGCAGAGUCUGAAACAGAGUUUGUGUGCAGAUAGUUUAUUUUGGAAAAAAUAAAAACACAAAUAAACAAAUGGCACCUAAUCAAACUUACAAGUUUUGCACAGCAAAGGAAACCAUAAAAAAAAAAAAACCUAUGGAAUGGGAGAAAAUAGUUGCAAAGGAUGCAACCAACAAGGGUUUAACCUCCAAAAUAUACAAACAACUCAUACAACUCAACAAUAAACAAACAAACAAUCCAGUAAUAAAAAAAAAUGGACAGAAGACUUAAAUAAACAUUUCUCCAAAGACACAUGGAUGGCCAGUAGGCACAUGAAAAAAUGCUCAACAUUGGAGUUCCUGUUGUUGCACAGCAGAAAUGAAUCCAACUAGCAUCCAUGAAGAUGCAGGUUCAAUCCCUGGCCUUGCUCAGUGGGUCAGGGAAUCCAGCAUUGCUGUGGCUGUGAUGUAGGCCAGAAGCUGCAGCUCUGAUUCAACCCCUAGCCUGGGAACUUCAAUAUGCUGCCGGUGCAGCCCUAAAAAGCAAAAAAAAAAAAAAAAAAAAAAAAAAAAAAGAAAGGAAAGAAAAGAAGAGAAAAAGAAAAAAAUGCUCAACAUCAUUAAUUAUUACAGAAAUGCAAAUCAAAACUAUAAUGAGGAACAACCGCACACUGGUCAGAAUGGCCAUCAUUAAUUAUUACAGAAAUGCAAAUCAAAACUAUAAUGAGGAACAACCACACACUGGUCAGAAUGGCCAUCAUUAAUAAGUCUACAAAUAACAAAUGCUGGAGAGGGUGUGGAGAAAAGGGAAUCAUCCUACACUAUUGAUGGGAAUGUUAAUUGGUACAACCACCAUGAAGAACAGUAUGGAGGUUCCUCAGAAAACUAAAUAUAGAAAUACCAUUUAAUCCAGCAAUCCCAUGCCUUGGUAUAUAUAUCCAGACAAAACUGUAAUUCAAAAAGAUACAUGCACCUGCAGGUUCAGAACAGUACUUCACAAUAGUCAGACAUGGAAACAACCUAAACGUCCAUCAACAGAUGAAUGGAUUAAGAAGAUGUGGUACAUAUACACAAUGGAAUACUAAUCAUCCAUAAAAAAUAAUAAAAUAAUGCCAUUUGCAGCAACAUGAAUGCAACUAGAAAUUCUCAUACUAAGUGAAGUAAGUCAGAAAGAGAAAGACAAAUACCAUGUGAUGUCACUUAUAUGUGGAAUCUAAAGUAUGGCACAAAUUAACUGACCUACAAAACAGAAACAGACUCACAGACAUAGAGAACAGAACUGUGGUUGCAGGGGGGGGGGUCGGGGAUGGACUGGGAGUUUGGGGUUAAUAUAUGCAAACUAUCAUAUUUAGAAUUGAUAAGCAAUGAAGUCCUACUGUAUAGCACAGGGAACUAUAUCCUGUCUCUUGAGAUAAACCAUGAUGGAAGAUAAAAUAAGAAAGGGUGUGGGUGUAUGUGGGUGUGUCGGGGGGUGGUGUGUGUGAGAGAGAGAGACUGGGUCACUUUGCUGUACAGCAGAAAUUGACACAACAUUGUAAACCAACUAUAAUAAAAAAAAUUUUUGAAAAAGAAUUGUGCACUUGAGAUACAGGAGAAUAAUUAUCGACUGGCUCCUGUCUUUAUUGGUUGAGGGCUGCCCUGAGUGGCAUUAAUUCACUUGGCAUGUAACAAAAUGAUUGAGCAAAUUCUUGUAAGGGUUCCAUGUAUAGGUAGCAGUGAAACUCCAGGGAAGAAACAAAGACAUGCAUGAUGCAGUUGUGACAAGGAGUUGUCAAGUUACACCUGUGUAGAGCUGACUGAUAUGGCAAUAACUGCAAUAAAAAUAUGGGCCAAGAGAUGGAAGACAGGGUACAAGAGGUGUCCAAUAAAGGUACAGAUAUUUUUGUCUGCCUGUUCUAUCAGGCACCCCUAAAAACAGAGAUGUAUUUAAUUGUCCCACCGUGACUGCGGAUGUUUCUAUUUGUUCAGCUUUGUCAAUUUUUUGUUUUAUACAUUUUGAAGUCACAUUAUUAUGACUUGAGACAAACCAUAUGUGUAUAUAUGGUUUAGGAUUAUUAAAACUUCCCAAUGAAUUGAUCUUUUAGCAUUAUAUAAUGUCUUUUUUAAUCUCUAGUAAUACUAUUAUCUUUAAAGUUUGCUUUGUUUUUUAUUAGUACAGUUAGAGCAGCUUUUCUUUUCUAUUUUAGUGUUUGCAAGCCACAUCUACUUUCAACUUGAAAGAGCUGGAAAGGAAAUUUUCAAUAUUUCUAUGUUGUUAUAUUUAAUAAGAGGCUUUCCUUGUAAGCAGUGUAUAGUUUUAAAAAUCCGUUCUGAUAAUUCUGUCUUUUAAUUACACUAAUUUUGGGUACAUUUUAGGUAGUAAUUGACAUGGUUUUUUUUAUGGCCGCACCCACAGCAUAUAGAAGUUCCCAGGCUAGAGAUUAAAUCGGAGCUGCUGCAGUCUACCCACAACACCAGAUCCGAGCCGCAUCUGUGACCUAUGCCACAGCUUUGUGGCAAUGCCAGAUCCUUAACCUACUGAGUGAAGCCAAGGAUCAAACCUGCAUCCUCACAGAGAUAAUGUCAGAACCUUAACCUGCUGAGCCACAACAGAAACUCCAACUUUAGGUUUAUCACCCUACUACACGUUUUCCAUUGUUUCACCUGUUUCAUGUUAUUUUUCUUUCCAUUCUUGCCAUCUUUUAGAUUAAUGAAGUAUUUUUUAAAAAUCCAUUAGCUCAUCUUUCAGCCGGUUAGUUAUACAUUAUUUUUCUAAUCUUCUAAUUGUUACUCUAGAGAAUAAAUAAUAAAAGUACCGCUAUAUUAAAUGUAAUAUAAGUUUUACCCCUUCUGGAAAAUUCAAGGACUUUAGAAAAUUUAACUCCAGGCCAAAGUGUGUCUGUCUGGGCCAGGAAGGAAGGAGGGCACAGGGUACCGCUGUCCAGUUUUCCCAGCACCACUUACUUGACAGAGACAAGACUAUGGCAUAGAACGACUGGGGCUCACCUCCUCUCACAAAAAAAGCCAAAAUUACAACUAACUUUUGAAUAGCCAAAACACACUGGAAGCUACCAAAAAAAGAUAUCCUUUACCCAAAGACAAAGUUGUCACAUCAAGAAGGUAGGAGGGGUGCUUUCAUGAUAUAAGCAAUCCCAUAACCAUUGGGUGGGUGACCCACAGACUGGAAAAUAACUAUAUGGCAGAGGCUCUCCCACAUGAGUGAGAGUUUGGGGCUCCACAUCAGGUUCCCACGCCUGGGGGUCUGGCACUGGGAGGAGGAGCCCCUGAAGCAUUUGGCGUUGAAAGCCAGUGAGGCUUGAGCACAGGAGCUCCACAGGACUGGAGGGAACAGAUUCCACCAUUGGAGGGCACACAAAGGGUUUCUCGUGCACUGGGUUCCAGGGCAAAGCGGGGACUCCAUAAGAAUCUGGAUCAGGCCUACCUGUGGGUCUUAGAGGGUCUCCAGGGAGAGCAGGGGGUGGCUGUGGCUCACUGAGGGGACAGGACAAUGGACACAGAGGUCCCAGGAAUAAUCAUCAAUGUGAGCUCCCCUGGAGGUUGCCGU
ensembl:lncRNA